rnacentral:rRNA from 1 species
UGGGGAAUAUUGGACAAUGGGCGAAAGCCUGAUCCAGCCAUGCCGCGUGUGUGAAGAAGGUCUUCGGAUUGUAAAGCAUUUUAAGUUGGGAGGAAGGGCAGUAAGCGAAUACCUUGCUGUUUUGACGUUACCGACAGAAUAAGCACCGGCUAACUCUGUGCCAGCAGCCGCGGUAAUACAGAGGGUGCAAGCGUUAAUCGGAAUUACUGGGCGUAAAGCGCGCGUAGGUGGUUCGUUAAGUUGAAUGUGAAAGCCCCGGGCUCAACCUGGGAACUGCAACCAAAACUGGCGAGCUAGAGUAGGGCAGAGGGUGGUGGAAUUUCCUGUGUAGCGGUGAAAUGCGGAGAUAUAGGAAGGAACACCAGUGGCGAAGGCGACCACCUGGGCUCAUACUGACACUGAGGUGCGAAAGCGUGGGGAGCAAACAGG